rnacentral:rRNA from 1 species
AUACGGAGGGUCCGAGCGUUAAUCGGAAUUACUGGGCGUAAAGCGCGCGUAGGCGGCUUUGUAAGUCGGAUGUGAAAGCCCUGGGCUCAACCUGGGAAUGGCAUUCGAAACUGCAGAGCUAGAGUAUGGUAGAGGGAAGUGGAAUUUCCGGUGUAGCGGUGAAAUGCGUAGAUAUCGGAAGGAACACCAGUGGCGAAGGCGGCUUCCUGGCCCAAUUCUGACGCUCAGGUGCGAAAGCGUGGGGAGCGAACAGGAUUAGAAACCCCAGUAGUCC